rnacentral:lncRNA from 1 species
UUUUACUAGUACUGGCAUUCUACUUUGCUAUUCCUAUAUUUUUUUAUUGCUGAUGCUAUUGUGUUAGUUACUAUUAAUAUCUUUAGCACUUCUACUCUUGAUCUUGCUACUGUGUGUUAUUGAUGUUGUCUAUCCUGCUAUUGCUAAAUUUGCUAUGUUUUAGAAGAGAGUUAAGAUAUUUUUCUAAUGAUAUUUGAUGCAUUAUCUCUUUUUGCAGCAUUAGAACCAACUUUAAUCCAUCCAAAG